rnacentral:lncRNA from 1 species
UCACGCACAAACAGGACACAAUGUGAACAUAAAGAGAGAAAGAGAACGCUUAUAUAUCUUUCAUCCGUACAUAUUUUUUGUAUGUGCUAACUCUAUAUACUUGAAAAUGAUGCAUAUGCCUCUCCAAGGAGAAUUGUAGCUCUAAGUCCUUGAUUCUUCAAUAAUUUUAUGAUCAAAAUAAAAAGCUUAAUAAAGUGGAGAAGAUUAUUCACAGUAACUGACUGAAUUUGUCCUCUGGAAGUGCAUCGCAUGGGAAUCAUGUCAAUUCAAAAUCUGAACCAUAUUCAAAUUUAAUCAUAUAAGAUGUCAUGCAAUCUCUCAUUUCUUCUAACACUACCUUUAAAACACAACUCACUCAAAUGAUUUCACUCGUAAAUAACUACCCGCAAACCAAGGAACCAAAAGUCACAAACUAAAACAAACCAUGAUACACAACACAUGAUGCUGAACCACACCGCACUGAUCCGCUAACUUCUCAUCGGGAAAAUAGUGAGAUUGAGGUAUACACUAAGCCAUGAAAACACCAAAGCAAAUCUAUUCUCCUCAAGGGCAACCUCAAACAAUCUUAAAAUACUGAUUCCUAACCAAAAUUAAAGAGGGAUAAUAAUUCAUGACACAACAUGCUAAACAAAGAACUUGUGAACAAUGGAUCCUAAUUCGAAUCAGUAGGAUAAAAUGAUGUAUAUAGCUUUCUUACCACUUCCACUAUCAAAUGAUCAAAUAUCCAAAUUCAUUAUUAAAUGUAAACUGAACCUACUUGAAAUUUAGAGGAAAAUUGAACCUGAAAACUUAAUAUAAUUGAAUUUUUUUUUCAGAUAUUGAUCAACCUAGUAUAUGUAGAGAAAAAACCAAAUAAAAUUGCAUACAAAUUAAUAAAAAUCACAAUGCAACUUCAUAAAGGUGAUUAACAAUUACAACAUAACUACAUGUCUUUCCUCAAUGCAUAUUCACUUGAUCUUAUAACUUUAAAAGAAAUCUAUCUCUAAGUUGAAUCAUCACUAUAAACUCAAUGAAUAUGUUAGUUGCUCAAUGUUUCAAAAAUGUAUUUUUGGAGUCAAAG